ensembl:lincRNA
GAGACAUGGGGCUUAUUAUUAUUAUUAUUAUUAUUAUUGUAAAAGAAAUUAAACGCCACACAUCUAUCUCUGUUUCUUGAUAGGUUAAAGGAUGGGGAAAGGAGGUCUCAGUUUUCUGCAGCUGGGAAUUUCAGAGCCAGCACCUCACUGGGGGAUGGACUGAAGAGGGUCAUAACAGCCUCUGGGGGAGGGACAUCUCUCCCUUACAUCUUCCACAAAAGAACUUCUUGGUUUUUCUCAGACCCAUGGCAGAACUGUGCCCUGUUUCAGGUUGACUGCUGCAAGGGACUAGGACUCAGAGCUGGAAAACAUCUCUGGUAACCACCCUGAACACCCCUCGGCAGACUCUUCCAGAAACAUGGACAAACUAUGGUUGGGAGAGAAGCCCAGAUUGGGCAGGAAGGGCAGAGCUGGAGAACAGGAGAGGAGGGGAGGUGAGUCUCUCCUGGGCAGCCCUCAGCAUCUGGGGCUGGUGUGGGGAUGGAACAGGGAGAGAUUGUGCCUCAGUGAAACAAGCAUCUGGGGAGGGAAGUGGGGUGCAUUCCGGAUUUGAGGGAUGGAUACGAGAGCCUGUGUUAAGUGGUGGGGGGAGCCCUGGCUCUGAAGUCAAACAAAUCCUAGUUUCAAUCCUGGCUCCACUGCUUAUGAGCUGUGUGACUUUGAGUCUGUCACUUAACAUCUCUGAGUCUCAGAUUCCUCAACUGUAAAACAGAAUUGAUCACAUCUACCUUGUUAGGUUGUUAUGAUUAGCUGGCAAGUGAAGUGUCACAAUACAAAAUGGCAUAGGUAUAUACACAAUAUUGGUCUUUUCUGUCUUUUCUUUCAUAGUUUUCAUGGUUGUCCUCUUCACCAGCCUUGGGCACCCGCAAGUCUGCAAUCCUGAAAUAGGAACAAAUGGAAACCACCAUCUUUCUAUUAGUCUCCCCAAUCAUGUAGGAAUUUUAUCCCAUUUAAAUACGUAUCCUUCCCCUUCCAGAUCAGUAUCUUGCCCAUUUCAGGGGCUCAAUAUAUAUUGAAAGAAUGAAUAUAGACCAAAUCCCUCCCCACUUUAAAAAUGCUAAAAUUAAGGCCUGCAGAGGUUGUGACUUAUCUCUUGGUCACUCAGCAAAAUAGACAAUUUACUACUGUGUUUGUUUGUUUGUUUGUUUAUUUAUUUAUUGAAAUGGGGUCUGGCUUUGUCACCCAGGCUGGAGUGCAGUGGUGUGAUCUAGGCUGAAUGCAGCCCCAGCCUCCUGGGCUCAAGCAAUCCUCCUCCCUCAGCCUCCCAAUCAGCUGAGACUACAGACACCCACCACCACGACGGGCUAAUUUUUGUAUUUUUUGUAGAGACAGAGUCUCCCUGUGUUGCUCAGGCUGGUCUUAAAUUCCUGGGCUCAAGUGAUCCUCCUACCUUGGCUUUCCAAAAUGCUGGAAUUACAGCAUAAGCCACAGCGUCCAGCCCUAACUUACUACUUUUUAAGAUAACUUUCUUGGAGUCUCAACACAAAAGCGUCGGCGAAUCAAGGGUCAGGGCAUCUGGCCCCUCGCCUUAACUGCAUCAAUCAGGUUUAGGAAGCAGCCUGAUUUCCAGCCCCACCCAUCGCAACUGCAGCUGUCAGGUUUCCCUGCUCACGUUUCCCUGGACGGGCAGAGAGGCAGCGUCCUCUGCUGGAAGCUUUAGGUAACUCCACUUUAGCGGCAAUUCGUCUGUCUCAGCUACAAACUACUAACACCUGGGGAGAUUUAAAAACCAUCCUGUUCAGGCCCCACCCCAGACCAGUUAAAUCAGAAUCUUGGGGUGUGACCCCAAGCAUCUGUGUAUUUUACAGUUCAGCAUGUUGAGUCAAGACUGGGGACCAGUGAAUGAAGGAUUAAUUUUAUAUGUGAGGGGACUCUAUCUUUUUUUUUUUUUUUUUUUUUUUUGAGACGGAGUCUGGCUCUGUCGCCCAGGCUGGAGUGCGGUGGCCGGAUCUCAGCUCACUGCAAGCUCCGCCUCCCGGGUUUAUGCCAUUCUCCUGCCUCAGCCUCCCGAGUAGCUGGGACCACAGGCGCCCGCCACCUCGCCCGGCUAGUUUUUUUUUUUUUUUUUUUUGUAUUCUUUAGUAGAGACGGGGUUUCACCGUUAUUAGCCAGGGUGGUCUCGAUCUCCUGACCUUGUGAUCCGCCCGUCUCGGCCUCCCAAAGUGCUGGGAUUACAGGCUUGAGCCACCGCGCCCGGCGAGGGGACUCUAUCUAGAAUGGAGCAAGCAACGGCAGAGAAUAAAACCCCCCUGGAUCAAAUCCCUCCAGUCUUCCAUUAAAAAAUUAGCCAUGUGAGACUUAGUCUGGGUCUGAGAAUCCUGGACAUUCUCAGGAGUUGGGGGAGGGUACAAAGGUACCUUAAUUGUCUCUGUGCCAGGUUGUGUCCUGGUAGGUCCAAAGUCCAGCUGCUGCUGGAUCAAGAAAGCUGAGAGGGGGGAGCUGUGUGAAUAAAACAAGUACAUUAUUCACAUUUAGCACUGGGAGUGUUGUCAGCUUCAUACUUUCCAACACAAUGGAUCCUAAACUUCAGCAUGUCUCAGGAUUAGCUAUUUCAUCAGCUUGUUAAAAUGCUGGGCCCCACCCCCUAAUUUUCUUAAUCCUACCCCUUGACUUUCUGGGUCUCAUCCCCUGACUUUCUGGGCCCCACACCCUGAUUUUCUGAUUCAGUAGGUCCAACAAACUCCCAGGUAAAUGCCCAUGCUGCUGGGCUAGGAUGACACACGGAGAACAAUUGCUUUAAAAAUUGAGCAGAUCAACACUCUCUUUCAAGUCUGUGCCUGGCCCAGCACCAUGGGGAUCCCCACAGUACCCCAAAAAGUCCUCAAAAUGAGUACACAGGGCAGGAAGAAUGGCACUCUGACUGUAGCAUAAUGAUUUGUAAAUGCAAAAUAGGUCAAGUCCUAUCUCAAAUGUUUACAGAUUGAAAAUGGGGAGGGGGAAAUGAUGGGGUCUGUGAGGUCAGAGCUUGGAUCACGGGUUUUUCCCCACCAGGCCCCAGCCUAAACAAGCUCUGUUAUAAAGAAGCCCUUGUCUUUGUGGAAGGAGGAGUUGUUGUUUUUUUCUUCAAGAUGUAGUCUUGCUCUGUCACCCAGACUGGAGUGCAAUGGCGCGAUCUCGGCUCACUGAGACCUCUGCCUCCCAGGUUCAAGUGAUUCUCCUGCCUCAGUCUUCUGAGUAGCUGAGAUUACAGGCACGUGCCACCAUGCCCGGCUAAUUUUUGUAUUUUUAGUAGAGACGGAGUUUCACCAUGUUGGCCAGGGUGGUCUUGAACUCCUGACCUUGUGAUCCACUGUCCUCUGCUUCCCAAAGUGUUGGGAUUACAGGCGUGAGCCACCGUACCCGGCCUAGGAGGAGACAUUUUUACUCAAUCCAGAGGCAGCCUCUGGGUAGAAGGGAAGGGCUGACUUGGUUCAGCGAGGUCAAGAGCCUUGCCAAAAGUCACAUAGCUAGCAGAAGUUGGAGAGUGAGUUUAGUGGUUUCCCUAAGAAAGAAUGGGUAUGAGUACUACCAUCUACAGUCAAGAUGCCAACGUGAGACCACCCUUACUGAAUACUUGGGACAUCAAGUUUUUUCACUUAGCAAUUCUUUUAUGAUAAAUGUAAGUAUAGAUGGUCCCUGACCUACAAUGGCUCAAUUUAACAUUUUUUUCACUUUAAAAUAGUGCAAAAACAAUACACAUUUAGUAGAAACCUUACUUCAAGUGCCCAUGCAAUCAUUCUGUUUUUUAUUUUCAGUACAGUCUUGAAUAAAUUAUGUGACAUAUUCAGUACUUUAUUAUAGCAUUUGUGUUAGAUGAUUUUGCCCAACUGUAGGCCAAUGUAAAUGUUGUGAGUACAUCUAAGGUAUGUCAGGCUAAGCUAUAGACGUUUGGUAGGUUAGAUGGAGUAAGCGCAUUUUCAACUCUUGAAUUAUAGUGGGUUUAUCAGGACAUGGCCUCAUUGUUAGGUCACGGAGCAUCUGUAAAUAUGGACAUCUUAAAAAUAUGUCAUUAAAUGAAUGCAAUGGACUCUAAAUAUCAUAAUGAUUUGAUACAAACGUUAUUCAUUUUCGUUUAUUUAUUUUUUGUAGAGGUGGGGUCUCACUAUGUUGCCCAGGCUGGAGGGUAGCACAAUCAUAGUGCACUGUGGCCUCGAACUCCUGCUCUCCUCAAGUGAUCCUCCUGCCUCAGCCUCGAAAGUAGCUGGGACUACAGGCAUGUGCCACCUUGCCUAGCUUCCUUAUUUAUUUAUUUAUUGAGACAGAGUCUUGCGCUAUUGCCCCGGCUGGAGUGCAGUGGCGUGAUCUUGGCUCACUGCAACCUCUGUCUCCAGGGUUCAGGAGAUUCUCGUGCCUCAGCCUCCUGAGUAGCUGGGAUUAUAGGUGACCACCACCAUACCUAGGUAAUUUUUGUGUUUUUAGUAGAGACCAUGUUGGCCAGGCUGGUCUCAAACUUGAGACCUCAGGUGAUUCACCCACCUUGGCCUCCCAAAGUGUUGGGAUUACAGGUGUGAGCCACAGCGCCCGGCCUUCAUUUUUAAAGUACAUGAAAAAACUAUUUCUGACAAUGUUGAGUUUUACCUAAGCAUUGUGCUCCUAGAGAAAAGCAAUGAUUAACCCCUCACCCCCAAACCCCACCUCAACCCCACCCUCUCGGGUUCUGGAAAUGGCUCACUGCAAAGAAACACCCUUCCCCAUAUGACUGAGAUAAAACUUAUGGAUUCCCCUCUAUGGCGAUUCCCCACUAUACCCUGUUACCAGACUGGAUACAGACAUCCCCAGUUCCCCUUUGCCUCAUAAGUGAUUAGGUGAACUGCUUGGCCCAUUGAUCAGCUGGAACAAAAUGCUCAUUAGUAAAACUUUGGUUAAGCUUUUGUCCUUCCCCAAGGCCUCUGAAUUUUGGCCCAUCCUCAGCCUAAACCAGCAUGAAAUCCCUCUGUAACAGCAACCUUGAGAACAGGCUGGCCUCAAGAUAAAGCAAUCUCUGAUCUACGGCCCCAUCCUGUCACUCUCAUUCAUCCCACUUGCCUACACCAGGUUCUUUCUAGACUGGUUUACUCCUCCCUAUAAAAGAAAAUCCCUUUUUGCCUACCCUUGAGAGUUUGUAGAUUUAUGGCCUGAGUGUUCUCCCUGUUUAGAGAGUCUUACCACCCUCACCCCACCCCAAAAUCAUCCUUUUAAAUAAAAUCUCUCUUUAUGAAAUCUGGAUUUGUUUUUUUAUUUGACAUAAUAUGCAACAUUCUUUUUUUCUUCCCAUUCAGCUUCUGCUAUGGAGUUUUAUCCAAACAUAAUAUAUUUUCAUGCUUGGUAAUAUUUUAUGAAGC